rnacentral:rRNA from 1 species
UUUAAAGUCGGGCCUGCCCAGUGAUUAGAUUAAAUGGCCGCAGUAUAUUGACUGUGCAAAGGUAGCAUAAUCAUUAGUUUCUUAAUUAGAAGCUGGUAUGAAUGGUUUGAUGAAAAAUUGACUGUCUCUUAUUUAUGAGUUGAAUUUUAUUAUUGAGUUAAAAAGCUCAAAUUUUUUAGAAAGACGAGAAGACCCUAUAGAGUUUGAUAUAUAAGUACUAUUAGAUUGAUUAGGUUUGACAUUUUUAGUGUUCUUGUAUAUUUUGUUGGGGUGAUGUGAAAAUUUGAGAAACUUUUUAUUAUUUUUACACUUAUUUGUGAUUUUAUGAUCCUUUGUUUGAGAUUAAAAGAUUAAAUUACCUUAGGGAUAACAGCGUAAUUUUUUUUGAGAGUUCUAAUCGAUAAAGAAGUUUGCGACCUCGAUGUUGGAUUAAAAUUUAGGUAAGGUGUAGUAGCUUUAUUAUUGGGUCUGUUCGACCUUUAAAAUUUUACA